CAAGGGGAUUUUCGCGUUUNGUUCCACCUCUUCCCAUUCCGAACAGAGAAGUUAAGCCCGGUCACGCCGAUGGUACUGCGUAACAGUGGGAGAGUAGGUAGUCGCCGUUU
rnacentral:rRNA from 1 species